UGGGGAAUAUUGGACAAUGGGCGAAAGCCUGAUCCAGCCAUGCCGCGUGAGUGGCGAAGGCCUUAGGGUUGUAAAACUCUUUCGUCGGGGACGAUAAUGACGGUACCCGAAGAAGAAGCUCCGGCUAACUUCGUGCCAGCAGCCGCGGUAAUACGUAGGGACCAAGCGUUGUUCGGAUUUACUGGGCGUAAAGGGCGCGUAGGCGGCUUAACAAGUCACUUGUGAAAUCUCCGGGCUUAACUCGGAACGGCCAAGUGAAACUGUUAAGCUAGAGUGCAGAAGGGGCAAUCGGAAUUCUUGGUGUAGCGGUGAAAUGCGUAGAUAUCAAGAGGAACACCCGAGGUGAAGACGGGUUGCUGGGCUGACACUGACGCUGAGGCGCGAAAGCCAGGGGAGCAAACGGGAUUAGAUACCCCCGUAGUCCCUGAGCGGGCUGGCAAGGCGCAU
rnacentral:rRNA from 1 species